GAUGGACGAACUCUUUAAAAGCGAAGCCAUUGUGACCGCGCAUAAAUGAAUUAUUCGACACGUGCGAAAAUGAAUUUCUAAGGUAUAACGAUGCCGUACGUUGUAAACAAUGACAGAGACGGAGUUGGAUAACCUUGGUGGUUACCGAGAGCCAUUAUUAUUUAAUUUUCAUUGUACGAAUCGGGUUAACGAGUUAAAUUGUAUUAACAAAUGUUCGUAAUGAGGGUGAUAAUUAAAGAAUCUGAUAUUACCGACUAGAAGAGAGAAGAUGAUUAAGUUUCGAGCGUUCUUUGUAGAGGGCUCCACUUUACAGGCGUAGCCAUUGCUGUCGUAACCAAGUCAUUUCCGUGUAGAAAUGUCAGGAGUGAAUCUCGUCUCACGUCGUUCCAAUCUCAAGAUUGUGGAAGGUGCAAUAGUAUGUGACGAGAGUAUACUCAGGGGAGAUAUCACGAUCGGUUCAAAGACCGUGAUUCACCCAAGGGCGAAUAUUCUUGCAGAAGCCGGACCAAUUAUAAUUGGAGAGGGGAACAUUAUCGAGGAGAUGGCAACUAUAGUUAAUCGGGUAACGCCAGAAGCCUCUCAAUCUUCGACUGUACCUGUGUUGAUCAUAGGUAACUACAAUGUAUUCGAGUCUGACAGUACCUGCGAAGCAUACAAAGUUGGAGACAACAAUAUCUUGGAGACUAAAGCGCACGUUGGGAGAGAAGUCGAACUCACCAAUGGUUGCGUGAUCGGAGCAGCUUGUAUUCUCGCCGAACCAGAAACAGUGCCUGAAAGUACCAUCGUAUUUGGAAGCCAGGGUCAAAGAAGAGAAAUGAACGACAAGCCUUACCCACAAGUUGGACAGCUGGAUUUUCUUAGCAAAGUAUUGCCGAAUUAUCACCACCUACGGAAACCGAACAUUAAAAUACAAAAACCCGAUAUAAAGAGGCACGAUGCUUAGAGAGCCCGGAUUACUUUUUCUACGCUAAAUCUCGCUUUUGUCUUCCAAUAUACAUGAAGAAAACGAUUGAUCUCAUCCUGACAUAAGUCUAGACUGCAUUUUUGUAAAACUCAAAUGAUACUCGGAUGGUAACUCCGUCUCGAUAAAGCAGAUCGCAAGUAGUAUGUCUACAUCCCGAAAGAUGGCACUGCCAUGCCCAACGUUCAAAAUAACAUCGGUCGAUCGUUGAAAUUAUCAUUUAAUUUAUUCAUGCCGUUCCAUUGAGGCGCCCCUUUGCAGUGUACAUCGUUGGACGAUAUGCAACCCCCUUAAGUGCAUGGCCGUGGUUCCGGGACUUGACGAUGUAAACGCGAUCCCCCUACGCAAGAGAAAUCGGGGAGCCCUCAACCCCCAACAGGAAAGUCGACGCGACAAUGCUAAACGUUAUAGGCAUAUGAAUAUGAAUUUGCAUCUCGCUGAGGGUCCCUAACUAUUUACGGUUGCCGCAAGCUUUAACUGCACCCACCAGUGACUAUCAACGUUAAGAAAGAAAGGUAAGUUCUCCAAUUUAUCCGCAUUACCCAUGGAACACUGAUAAGCAAUGAUUAAAUUUCCAACUUUAUUGAAUUAAAAAAAAAUAAAAAUCGCCAAUGAAAUGUGUUAUAAAAGUGGGAAUUAACUGCGAUAUCUUUUCAGACUUAUAAAGCGGUCGUCACUAAUUCACCGUAUAACGUUUUUGGCGAUAAGGAGGAGGAGAGGGUCAUUUAAUAUUUCUUUUUAUCUCGCGAUUCCCUCGGGUCAACUCGCGCCGUUGAAAGCCGAGC